rnacentral:rRNA from 1 species
UACGAAGGGGGCUAGCGUUGCUCGGAAUCACUGGGCGUAAAGGGUGCGUAGGCGGGUCUUUAAGUCAGGGGUGAAAUCCUGGAGCUCAACUCCAGAACCGCCUUUGAUACUGAGGAUCUUGAGUACGGGAGAGGUGAGUGGAACUGCGAGUGUAGAGGUGAAAUUCGUAGAUAUUCGCAAGAACACCAGUGGCGAAGGCGGCUCACUGGCCCGUUACUGACGCUGAGGCACGAAAGCGUGGGGAGCAAACAGG